rnacentral:lncRNA from 1 species
CUAGGAGGGAGGAGUCUCUUGAUGUUGAGGUUUCUGCCAGUGGUUAUACAAAGGAAAUGCAGGCAGAUGAUGAACUUUUACAUCCAGUAGGUCCAGAUGAUAAAAACACUGAAACAGAGGAGGGAUCUGAUUUCUCCUUUUCUGAAGAUGAAGUGUCAGAAAAAGCAAAAGUUUGUGGGUCAGAAGUUGAAAGUGAACAGCAUGCUGUAGAUGAAUCAAGAGGCUGCUACUCCACCUCAGACCAUGAACAGAGAUGAAGAAAAUAGGGGAAAUACUGAUCAAUAUAGAACAAGAACUCUGAGUGUUAUUUCUGCAGGCAGCUUUGUAAGCUGUUCAACAAUUCCUCCAGAAUUGAUAAAACAGAAGGUGAAACGUCAGUUAACAAAACAGCAAAAAUCAGCUGUCAGACGUCGACUACAGAAAGGAGAAGCAAAUAUAUUUACUAAGCAACAGAGAGAAAACAUGCAAAAUAUUAAAUCAAAUUUGGAAGCAGCCAGCUUUUGGGGAGAAUAAUAUAUUAAGAUAUUGGAUAUUUCUAUUAUAUAUUUUUUUCAAGUUACUGUAACUCUUUUCAGCACCUUUGGUCUGUUUUGGGCCAAGGCCAGUACAUAGUAGGUAAAUAAACCCACCUUUAUCUGUAAAAAAAACAAAAAUUUAUGGGGAAACUAGAUACUUCCACAACAAAGAACACCUGAGAAAUUUCAUGAACACCAAACCAGCACUACAAGAAAUUCUAAACAAUAUCCUAGAAAAAAGGAAAUGAAGGCCACAACUCCAUUAGGCCCAACAGAGGGAAGCCACCAGGCAAGGUAAGACACUAA